rnacentral:rRNA from 1 species
GGAUGCGAUCAUACCAGCACUAAAGCACCGAAUCCCAUCAGAACUCCGAAGUUAAGCGUGCUUGGGCGAGAGUAGUACUAGGAUGGGAGGGCGAGAGUAGUACUAGGAUGGGUGACCUCCUGGGAAGUCCUCGAGUUGCAUUCC